AAAGCGCGCGUAGGCGGUUGUGUAAGUUGGGUGUGAAAUCCCCGGGCUCAACCUGGGAAUUGCAUUCAAAACUGCACGGCUAGAGUAUGGGAGAGGAAGGUAGAAUUCCAGGUGUAGCGGUGAAAUGCGUAGAUAUCUGGAGGAAUACCGAUGGCGAAGGCAGCCUUCUGGCCUAAUACUGACGCUGAGGUGCGAAAGCAUGGGGAGCAAACAGGAUUAGAUACCCUUGU
rnacentral:rRNA from 1 species